rnacentral:rRNA from 1 species
AGAGCGAACGCUGGCGGCAGGCCUAACACAUGCAAGUCGAGCGCCCGUAGCAAUACGGGAGCGGCAGACGGGAUAGUAACACGUGGGAACGCGCCCUUCGGUUCGGAAUAACUCAGGGAAACUUGAGCUAAUACCGAAUACGCCCUUACGGGGAAAGAUUUAUUGCCGAAGGAACGGCCCGCGUCCGAUUAGCUAGUUGGUGAGGUAAUGGCUCACCAAGGCUACGAUCGGUAGCUGGUCUGAGAGGAUGACCAGCAUCACUGGGACUGAGACACGGCCCAGACUCCUACGGGAGGCAGCAGUGGGGAAUAUGACAAUGGGCGAAAGCCUGAUCCAGCCAUGCCGCGUGGAUGAUGAAGGCCUUAGGGUUGUAAAGUCCUUUUAACGGGGAGAUAAUGACGGUACCCGUAGAAUAAGCCCCGGCUAACUUCGUGCCAGCAGCCGC